AGUGCCGUCAGGUAAAGUGACGAUGGUGUGUCCCAUCCGCGCCACUGGUUCAGGCGGCACGAGA
rnacentral:snoRNA from 19 species